GCUCAGGACGAACGCUGGCGGCGUGCUUAACACAUGCAAGUCGAACGAUGAAGCCCUUCGGGGUGGAUUAGUGGCGAACGGGUGAGUAACACGUGGGCAAUCUGCCCUUCACUCUGGGACAAGCCCUGGAAACGGGGUCUAAUACCGGAUAACACUCUGUCCUGCAUGGGACGGGGUUGAAAGCUCCGGCGGUGAAGGAUGAGCCCGCGGCCUAUCAGCUUGUUGGUGGGGUAAUGGCCUACCAAGGCGACGACGGGUAGCCGGCCUGAGAGGGCGACCGGCCACACUGGGACUGAGACACGGCCCAGACUCCUACGGGAGGCAGCAGUGGGGAAUAUUGCACAAUGGGCGAAAGCCUGAUGCAGCGACGCCGCGUGAGGGAUGACGGCCUUCGGGUUGUAAACCUCUUUCAGCAGGGAAGAAGCGCAAGUGACGGUACCUGCAGAAGAAGCGCCGGCUAACUACGUGCCAGCAGCCGCGGUAAUACGUAGGGCGCAAGCGUUGUCCGGAAUUAUUGGGCGUAAAGAGCUCGUAGGCGGCUUGUCACGUCGGAUGUGAAAGCCCGGGGCUUAACCCCGGGUCUGCAUUCGAUACGGGCUAGCUAGAGUGUGGUAGGGGAGAUCGGAAUUCCUGGUGUAGCGGUGAAAUGCGCAGAUAUCAGGAGGAACACCGGUGGCGAAGGCGGAUCUCUGGGCCAUUACUGACGCUGAGGAGCGAAAGCGUGGGGAGCGAACAGGAUUAGAUACCCUGGUAGUCCACGCCGUAAACGUUGGGAACUA
rnacentral:rRNA from 2 species